rnacentral:lncRNA from 13 species
CGGAAGUCCCUGGCUAUCUGUGUUCUGCCCCAAACAUCAGCACAGUGGCAUCUGGCAAGGCUCCUUCCAGAGAAAACACAGAGGUGAACGUUGCAGAAGGCAUUGAGAAAUCCUGCUCCCAGCAGGAAGAAAACAAACUGACUUCCAGAGCCAGCAGAAAUAGACUUCUUCUGAGUCAGGUGGCCUACUUCCUGAACUACCAGCUGAAGACCUACAGUAAGUUCUACAGGUUCACCACCACGAAAGUGAUGAAUAAUGUCCUGUCUUGUUUUGAGAACCUAACCACUUUCUUAAUCAAAAUUAGUUUCAUCCUCUUCAUCCUUGCAGAAAAUAGAAAUGAGUAUUUUACCAUUUUGUUAAAGAUGUAAGGCAGAGGCCAAAGUAUUUAGCAACUUUUCCAUGUCUGCAAUAAGGUGGGUGUGAGACUGGGAUUAAAAUCCCUGCUAUUGGCCGGGCGUGGUGGCUCAUGCAUAUAAUCCCAGCACUUUGGGAGGCCGAGGCAGGUGGAUCACGAGGUCAAGAGAUCGAGACCAUCCUGGUCAACAAGGUGAAACACCGUCUCUACUUAAAAUACUUAGUCGGGUAUAGUGGCGUGCACCUGUAGUCCCAGUUAGGAGGCUGAGGCAGGAGAAUUGCUUGAACCCAGGAGACGGAGGUUGCGGUGAGCCGAGUUCGCGCCAUUGCACUCCAGCCUGGGUAACGAGCGAAACUUCGUCUUAAAAAAAAAAAAAUCCCAGCUAUUGAUUUCUGACACAGGCACAGAACCACCUGUUUUUCUCAGCAAAGAGUGAAAUCAUGUUUACAGGAAUCCUCUCUACUGUAUAAGAUUCUGCAGACCAGUAGCAUCUAGUCUGUUGGUCUAAAUGUCUGAGGCUAGUGAACUUCUACUUGGUUCUGGUUUCUGCUGAGCCCCAGUAGGCAAAGGUGUGUUCUGGGACACCAGGGGAACACAGUGAUAGCACAUGGUACCUCCUGUGAGGAACUUGAAGGGGACCCUGCUCCUAAUAGA